AGUUUUAUAGUAUAAUAAAUACGUUGGAUUGCAAAUCUAAAAAUGUGAGAAUUCACUAAAACUU
rnacentral:tRNA from 1 species